AGCUCCAAUAGUGUAUAUUAAUGUUGUUGUGGUUAAAAAGCUCGUAGUUGGAUUUCGGCGGGCAUAGGUUGGUUUGAAUUGAUUCAAUACUGACUUUUCUGCCCGUGUGUUUUGCCAGAAUCUGACGGGUGAUCUUAAUCGAUUGUCCGUUCGAACUGGCAGGUUUACUUUGAAAAAAUUAGAGUGCUCAAAGCAAGCUUGAUUGCUUGAAUAUUCGUGCAUGGAAUAAUAGAAUAGGAGGUCGUUUCUAUUUUGUUGGUUUUCGGAAAUCGACUUAAUGAUUAAUAGGGAUAGUCGGGGGCAUUUGUAUUCAAACGACAGAGGUGAAAUUCUUGGACCGUUUGAAGACAAACUUCUGCGAAAGCAUUUGCCAAGAAUGUUUUCA
rnacentral:rRNA from 1 species